UACGGAGGGUGCGAGCGUUGUCCGGAAUCAUUGGGCGUAAAGGGCGCGUAGGUGGCUUCUUAAGCGUGCGGUGAAAGCCUGGGGCUCAACCCCGGGUCGGCCGUGCGAACUGGGGGGCUGGAGCACUGUAGAGGCAGGCGGAAUUCCGGGUGUAGCGGUGGAAUGCGUAGAGAUCCGGAAGAACACCGGUGGCGAAGGCGGCCUGCUGGGCAGUAGCUGACGCUGAGGCGCGACAGCGUGGGGAGCAAACAGG
rnacentral:rRNA from 1 species